rnacentral:tRNA from 1 species
GCAUUGGUAGUCCAGUGGCAGAAUUCUCAUCCUUCCAUGAGGAAGACCUGGGUUUGAUUCCCACUCAGUGCA